rnacentral:rRNA from 1 species
GACGAACGCUGGCGGCGUGCUUAACACAUGCAAGUCGAACGAUGAAGCCGGAGCUUGCUCUGGUGGAUUAGUGGCGAACGGGUGAGUAACACGUGAGUAACCUGCCCUGAACUCUGGGAUAAGCGCUGGAAACGGCGUCUAAUACCGGAUAGGACCGUGGGUCGCAUGAUCUGGGGUGGAAAGUUGUUCGGUUUGGGAUGGACUCGCGGCCUAUCAGCUUGUUGGUGAGGUAAUGGCUCACCAAGGCGCCGACGGGUAGCCGGCCUGAGAGGGUGACCGGUCACACUGGGACUGAGACACGGCCCAGACUCCUACGGGGGGCAGCAGUGGGGAAUAUUGGACAAUGGGCGGAAGCCUGAUCCAGCAACGCCGCGUGAGGGAUGACGGCCUUCGGGUUGUAAACCUCUUUCAGCAGGGACGAAGCGCAAGUGACGGUACCUGCAGAAGAAGCACCGGCCAACUACGUGCCAGCCGCCGCAGUAAGAC